AUUGAACGCUGGCGGAAUGCUUUACACAUGCAAGUCGAACGGUAGAGGGGGCAACCCCUCGAGAGUGGCGAACGGGUGAGUAAUAUAUCGGAACGUGCCCAGUCGUGGGGGAUAACGUAGCGAAAGUUACGCUAAUACCGCAUACGAUCUAAGGAUGAAAGCGGGGGAUCGUAAGACCUUGCGCGUUAGGAGCGGCCGAUGGCGGAUUAGCUAGUUGGUAGGGUAAAGGCCUACCAAGGCGACGAUCCGUAGCGGGUCUGAGAGGACGACCAGCCACACUGGAACUGAGACACGGUCCAGACUCCUACGGGAGGCAGCAGUGGGGAAUUUUGGACAACGGGCGAAAGCCUGAUCCAGCCAUUCCGCGUGCAGGAUGAAGGCCCUCGGGUUGUAAACUGCUUUUGUACAGAACGAAAAGGUUUCUACUAAUACUGGGAGCUCAUGACGGUACUGUAAGAAUAAGCACCGGCUAACUACGUGCCAGCCGCCGCAGUAA
rnacentral:rRNA from 1 species